rnacentral:rRNA from 1 species
UACGUAGGGGGCAAGCGUUGUCCGGAAUUAUUGGGCGUAAAGCGCGCGCAGGCGGCUUUGUAAAUCUGGUGUUUAAACCUGGGGCUCAACCUCGGGUCGCACGGGAAACUGUAAGGCUUGAGUGCAGAAGAGGAAAGUGGAAUUCCACGUGUAGCGGUGAAAUGCGUAGAGAUGUGGAGGAACACCAGUGGCGAAGGCGACUUUCUGGGCUGUAACUGACGCUGAGGCGCGAAAGCGUGGGGAGCAAACAGG